GAACUCGCAAAUUGACACCGUAACUUCGGGAGAAGGUGUGCCGCUGGCGGUUAGUGACUUCGCGUCACGAAGCUGUUGGUGGUCGCAGUGAAAUGGCGGUUGUGACUGUUUACUAAAAACACAGGACUCUGCGAAGUCGUAAGACGACGUAUAGGGUCUGAUGCCUGCCCGGUGCUGGAAGGUUAAGGGGAUAUGUCAGCGCAAGCGAAGCAUUGAACCGAAGCCCCAGUAAACGGCGGCCGUAACGAUAACGGUCCUAAGGUAGCGAAAUUCCUUGUCGGGUAAGUUCCGACCUGCACGAGGGCAUAACAACAUCCGCACUGUCUCGACCAGGGACUCAGCGAAAUUACAUUGGGGGUGAAGAUGCCCUCUACCCGCGGAAAGACGGAAAGACCCCAUGAACCUUUACUGCAACUUGGCAGUGAUUUUCGGGUUGUUCUGCGUAGGAUAGGUGGGAGGCUUUGAAGCCGGGCUUCCGGGUUCGGCAGAGCCAACGUUGAAAUACCACCCUGUAUAAUCUGGAAAUCUAACCUGCGCCCAUGAUCUGGGCGAGGGACACUGCCUGGUGGGCAGUUUGACUGGGGCGGUCGCCUCCUAAAUUGUAACGGAGGCGUGCGACGGUUCCCUCAGGCUGAUUGGAAACCAGCCGUAGAGUGCAAACGCAUAAGGGAGCUUUACUGCGAGACUGACAAGUCGACCAGUUGCGAAAGCAGGUGUUAGUGAUCCGGUGGUACCACAUGGAAGGGCCAUCGCUCAUCGGAUAAAAGGUACUCUGGGGAUAACAGGCUGAUCGCGCCUGAGAGUUCACAUCGGCGGCGCGGUUUGGCACCUCGAUGUCGGCUCAUCGCAUCCUGGGGCUGGAGCAGGUCCCAAGGGUUUGGCUGUUCGCCAAUUAAAGCGGUACGCGAGCUGGGUUUAAAACGUCGUGAGACAGUUUGGUCCCUAUCUUCCGUGGGCGCAGGACACUUGAGAGGAGCUAUCCAUAGUACGAGAGGACCUGGAUGGACGAACCUCUGGUGCUCCGGUUGUCACGCCAGUGGCAUAGCCGGGUAGCCAUGUUCGGAACAGAUAACCGCUGAAGGCAUAUAAGCGGGAAGCUGGCCUCAAGACUAGGUGUCCCUGACGCAAGUCACUAAAGGCCCCUCGAAGACUACGAGGUUGAUAGGCUCGGUGUGGAAGCGCUGCGAGGCGCGGAGCUAACGAGUACUAAUAGGCCGUGAGGCUUGACCCC
rnacentral:rRNA from 1 species